CAGGCCACAACCGUCUUCCCUGACACCUCUGUCCCAAGGUCUUCCAAUUCCCCCAGGUCGAGCCAAAUGAAGCAGCUCAGCGCUGUCUUGCAAACAAUCGCGUCUCCCGCGGGAACUCUUGUAGAGAAACAGUCUGGCACAACUUCAUCCUGCUAUAUUGCAGAGGCCUCUUCUUGGGGACAAAAAAUAAGAAGAGUCUCUUUCUUUUCAGGGACUUGCAAGAGCUGGCGUAGCUGUCAUCGUGGGCUGAGCUGACGAGCUGUCUCCUGACCCUGACAAGCUUCCUGAGGGUGAAAGAGACCACUUUCCUGCCUCCAGGUGUCUGAAGUGUAAUCUUAGAAAAUACAGAUGGAUGACAUCAUUACAGUGCCACUGAACCAGGACACAAACAGCAACAUCAGUGUAAACACCUGGAGUGCCACGCCAUCAGGAAAGGGAUGCCAGCUGUGAAGGCUGCACUUCCUAAGCGGGGCUGUGUAAACACGAGCUGUGCAGAGAGGUGGCAGGUCCUCUACUCCGGGGAUGCGGGACCACUUGGGUCUGCUGUGACACGUGUGAUAUUGCAGGCUGAAUGUAGUGAAAUAAAGACAUUCUCACGUGUCAGAAGACUUUUAGCCUCCUGUAAAUUCAGCAAAGGGGGAAUUGGGAUAGAUUCUGCUCAGAAAUGCUGCUGUAAAUCUGGAGUCAAGUGAACCACUUGAAAGCUGCAGCCGAAUGGCCAUGCCUAUGCACAGCUGUAGGAGAGGCCAAACAGUAGUAGCGGUCAGACAGCUUGCAAAUCAGCCAGUGGCUUUGAAGAAGUUUGGCUGAUUUACCCAAGUGAAGGUCACCUAGAUUUUUAAAUUAUCUCCAGCUUUUGG
rnacentral:lncRNA from 1 species